GUGAGUAUAGUUUAAAAAAACAUUAGAUUGUGAUUCUAAAGAUAGAAGUUAGACCCCUCUUGCCCGCC
rnacentral:tRNA from 1 species